rnacentral:tRNA from 20 species
UCCAUUGAUUCUUUAGAACCUAUUACCACUUUAUUUUAUUCGGACAUGGAGUCGAAGGAAGUUUAGUAAUUACUUCACAA